rnacentral:rRNA from 1 species
AUUGAACGCUGGCGGCAGGCCUAACACAUGCAAGUCGAACGAGUGGCGGACGGGUGAGUAAUGUCUGGGAAACUGCCCGAUGGAGGGGGAUAACUACUGGAAACGGUAGCUACUACCGCAUACCAUCGGAUGUGCCCCGAGGGGAUUAGCUAGUGGGUGGGGUAACGGCUCACCUAGGCGACUAUCCCUAGCUGGUCUGAGGGGAGGACCAGCCACACUGGAACGGAGACACGGUCCAGACUCAUACGGGGGGCAGCAGGGGGGAAUAUUGCACAAUGGGAGCAAGCCUGAUGGAGCCAUGCCGCGGGUAUGAAGAAGGCCUUCGGGUUGUAAAGUACUUUCAGCGAGGAGGCGUUACUCGCAGAAGAAGCACCGGCUAACUCCGGGCCAGCAGCCGCGGUAAUUC